rnacentral:rRNA from 1 species
GACGCACAUACGGUAGAUAUUCCGUAGCCACCGAAGCUGUUAAGUACACUGACACAUGGAGAUAGGCGAACCCGGGCGUUGGUUGACCCGGGCGAAAGGGACUGAAACAUAGUAGGGAAGUCGUCGAUGCUCUGUGGCGAGAAAAGGUGUAUGUAUUGGUUAGGUGCCCGUACCGCAAACCGACACAGGUAGAUGAGGAGAGAAUCCUAAGACCAACGGGAGAAGGGUUGUUAAGGAACUCGGCAAAAUGACCCCGUAACUUCGGGAUAAGGGGAGCCCUCGAAAGGGGGCCGCAGAGAAUAGGCCCAAGCGACUGUUUACCAAAAACACAGGUCUCUGCUAAAUCGAAAGAUGACGUAUAGGGGCUGACGCCUGCCCGGUGCCGGAAGGUUAAGAGGAGAGCUUAGCGCAAGCGAAGGUUUGAAUUUAAGCCCCGGUAAACGGCGGCCGUAACGAUAACGGUCCUAAGGUAGCGAAAUUCCUUGUCAGGUAAGUUCUGACCCGCACGAAUGGCGUAACGAUUUGGGCGCUGUCUCAACAGCCCGCCCGGCGAAAUUGUAGUACUGGUGAAGAUGCCAGUUACCCGCAACUAGACGGAAAGACCCCAUGGAGCUUUACUGUAGCUUAAUACUGGAAUUCGGUGAUUCAUGUACAGGAUAGGUGGGAGACAGAGAAACAGAGGCGUCAGCUUCUGCGGAGUCGUCCUUUGGAUACCACCCUUGGGUUACUGGGAUUCUAACCUGCGGCCAUGAAACUGGUCGGGGGACACUGUUAGGUGGGCAGUUUGACUGGGGCGGUCGCCUCCAAAAGAGUAACGGAGGCGCUCAAAGGUUGGCUCAGCACGGACGGAAAUCGUGCAUAGAGUGUAAACGCGAAAGCCAGCCUAACUGCGAGCCCGACGGGGCGAGCAGUAACGAAAGUUGGAGUUAGUGAUCCGGCGGUAUGUGCGUGGAAAUGCCGUCGCUCAACGGAUAAAAGCUACCCUGGGAUAACAGGCUGAUCUCCCCCAAGCGUCCACAGCGACGGGGAGGUUUGGCACCUCGAUGUCGGCUCGUCACAUCCUGGGGCUGAAUUCGGUCCCAAGGGUUCGGCUGUUCGCCGAUUAAAGUGGCACGCGAGCUGGGUUCAGAACGUCGUGAGACAGUUCGGUCCCUAUCUGUUGCGGGCGUAGGAGAUUUGAAGGGAGCUGUCCUUAGUACGAGAGGACCGGGAUGGACAUACCUCUGGUGCACCAGUUGUCCUGCCAAGGGCAUAGCUGGGUAGCUAUGUAUGGACGAGAUAAACGCUGAAGGCAUCUAAGCGUGAAACUCCCCCUAAGAUAAGAUCUGCCACCCUUUAUGGGGUAAGGCUCGACGUAGACUAUGUCGUUGAUAGGUCGGAGGUGUAAGUGCGGCAACGCAUUGAGCUGACCGAUACUAAUAAGCCGAGGGCUUGACCA